GGUAACCGCAAGGAGCCAGCCGCCGAAGGUGGGGUAGAUGAUUGGGGUGAAGUCGUAACAAGGUAUCCGUACCGGAAGGUGCGGAUGGAUCACCUCCUUUCUAGGGAGA
rnacentral:rRNA from 1 species